rnacentral:rRNA from 1 species
GACGAACGCUGGCGGCGUGCCUAAUACAUGCAAGUAGAACGCUGAAGACUGGUGCUUGCACUAGUCAGAUGAGUUGCGAACGGGUGAGAAACGCGUAGGUAACCUACCUCAUAGCGGGGGAUAACUAUUGGAAACGAUAGCUAAUACCGCAUGACAAUUAAGUACUCAUGUACUAAAUUUUAAAGGAGCAAUUGCUUCACUAUGAGAUGGACCUGCGUUGUAUUAGCUAGUUGGUGAGGUAACGGCUCACCAAGGCCACGAUACAUAGCCGACCUGAGAGGGUGAUCGGCCACACUGGGACUGAGACACGGCCCAGACUCCUACGGGAGGCAGCAGUAGGGAAUCUUCGGGAAUGGGGGCAACCCUGACCGAGCAACGCCGCGUGAGUGAAGAAGGUUUUCGGAUCGUAAAGCUCUGUUGUUAGAGAAGAACGGUAAUGGGAGUGGAAAAUCCAUUACGUGACGGUAACUAACCAGAAAGGGACGGCUAACUACGUGCCAGCAGCCGCGGUAAUACGUAGGUCUCGAGCGUUGUCCGGAUUUAUUGGGCGUAAAGCGAGCGCAGGCGGUUAUUUAAGUCUGAAGUUAAAGGCCGUGGCUCAACCAUGGUUCGCUUUGGAAACUGGAUAACUUGAGUGCAGAAGGGGAGAGUGGAAUUCCAUGU